rnacentral:rRNA from 1 species
UUUUUUCCCGAUUAAUACCUUCACUACUUGGAUAACCGUGGUAAUUCUAGAGCUAAUACAUGCUAAAAAUCCCGACUUCGGAAGGGAUGUAUUUAUUAGAUUAAAAACCAAUGCCCUUCGGGGCUCACUGGUGAUUCAUAAUAACUUCUCGAAUCGCAUGGCCUUGCGCCGGCGAUGGUUCAUUCAAAUUUCUUCCCUAUCAACUUUCGAUGCUAGAGUAGUGUUCUAGCAUGGUUACAACGGGUAACGGAGGGUUAGGGCUCGACCCCGGAGAAGGAGCCUGAGAAACGGCUACUACAUCCAAGGAAGGCAGCAGGCGCGCAAAUUACCCAAUCCCGACUCGGGGAGGUAGUGACGAUAAAUACUGAUACAGGGCUCUUUUGGGUCUUGUAAUUGGAAUGAGUACAAUUUAAAUCCCUUAACGAGGAACAAUUGGAGGGCAAGUCUGGUGCCAGCAGCCGCGGUAAUUCCAGCUCCAAUAGCGUAUAUUAAAGUUGUUGUGGUUAAAAAGCUCGUAGUAGAACCUUGGGCCUGGCUGGCCGGUCCGCCUCACCGCGUGCACUGGUCCGGCCGGGCCUUUCCCUCUGUGGAACCGCAUGCCCUUCACUGGGUGUGCCGGGGAAACAGGACUUUUACUUUGAAAAAAUUAGAGUGCUCCAGGCAGGCCUAUGCUCGAAUACAUUAGCAUGGAAUAAUAGAAUAGGACGUGUGGUUCUAUUUUGUUGGUUUCUAGGACCGCCGUAAUGAUUAAUAGGGACAGUCGGGGGCAUCAGUAUUCAAUUGUCAGAGGUGAAAUUCUUGGAUUUAUUGAAGACUAACUACUGCGAAAGCAUUUGCCAAGGAUGUUUUCAUUUAUCAGGAACGAAAGUUAGGGGAUCGAAGACGAUCAGAUACCGUCGUAGUCUUAACCAUAAACUAUGCCGACUAGGGAUCGGACGAUGUUAUUUUUUGACUCGUUCGGCACCUUACGAGAAAUCAAAGUGCUUGGGCUCCAGGGGGAGUAUGGUCGCAAGGCUGAAACUUAAAGAAAUUGACGGAAGGGCACCACCAGGGGUGGAGCCUGCGGCUUAAUUUGACUCAACACGGGGAAACUCACCAGGUCCAGACACAAUGAGGAUUGACAGAUUGAGAGCUCUUUCUUGAUUUUGUGGGUGGUGGUGCAUGGCCGUUCUUAGUUGGUGGAGUGAUUUGUCUGCUUAAUUGCGAUAACGAACGAGACCUUAACCUGCUAAAUAGCCCGUAUUGCUUUGGCAAGUACGCCGGGCUUUUCUUUAAAAG